rnacentral:rRNA from 1 species
UACGAAGGGGGCGAGCGUUGUUCGGAAUUACUGGGCGUAAAGGGCGCGCAGGCGGCUCUGAAAGUCAGAUGUGAAAGCCCCGGGCUUAACCUGGGGAUUGCAUUUGAUACUCUGGAGCUUGAGUACGGGAGAGGAGAGUGGAAUUCCCAGUGUAGAGGUGAAAUUCGUAGAUAUUGGGAAGAACACCGGUGGCGAAGGCGGCUCUCUGGACCGUAACUGACGCUGAGGCGCGAAAGCGUGGGGAGCAAACAGG